CAUACACAAAGUUAAUCACAACAAAAAACAAAACACGCAUACACAAAGUCAAACACAACCAAAAAGUAAUAAAACAUAUUACAAAACACUCAAUAGUAACAAAGUUCAAACACACACAAAAGGAAGCUCAAAACAAAAACAAAAACUUAAGAAUUUUCACAAACCCAAGAGAAAGAGAAAGCAAUGCAGAAACCUAAGAAUUGGCUAUAUUCGAUAUUUGUUUCUCGUAUUUAUUUUCAUAUGAUCAUGCCACUACAAUAGAAAAUGGCAUCUUGCAGCAAGAGCUAGGUAACAUUUUUUACAACUUUUUCUCAUCUGUGAUGGUGGAAAAUAUCUUCAGAUUGAAUCAUGUAUCUUUUAUAAGAAUUUUGUUUCUCAAGCUUUUUCUGUUUUCUUAAUUAAUAUGACUUGAACGCCAAACCCCUGGUCAACAACAUUAUAAAGCGAGCGACUGGAGAUUUCUUUUAAAAAGAUGACAGUUUAUAGCUUUUAGCAAGAAGGUUGGGACUGGGAAACCAAGUAACGAGGCAAAAAAGCUGGAUCUUUAUGGAACGAAAGUUGAACCACCUGCAUAUGUCGAGCCUGCUGGGAUGGAUUCUCUUGUAAACCCCAGACCCCAGAUUCUAGAGCUUUCUAUAUGAUAUGAAAAGAAAGACUUGAAUGUUUGUUGGAGGCAUUUAAGACUCUUUUAUUCUCAAGAAAUCAUCAAAGCUGCAUUAGCCCAUGUCACAGAUGCCCUUUAAAAAAAGGAAGUAUUUAUCAGUUUGGUGAGGUUUUUGGAUUAUAUAGUCGUGUGCAACUUUGGCUUUGAAAGGUCUACAAGAACUAGGCAAGUGAGUGGAAAUCUUGGUCUGGUUGUUGUGUGUAGGUCCUGGUUGGGAUGAGAAAUAUGUGCAGCUUCAGCAGCAAGUCAUUGAAAUCAUCACUUACCUAUCUUGGACUGCGGCAAGUUUCCUAAGGAAAAAGCUACAUUCAGUUGAUGAAUGUUGAAUUCUGACAUCAGUUUUAUUUUUUGCUCC